UAGCAUCACAGCUUGUCUGUAAGGAUUGAAGCUGGGAGUGGGCAUUGGAGCUGACUUUUAUGAUAACUGUGGCUGCAUAAAAUGGUUGUGUGAUAUAACUGCAACAGUAAAGAAUGUAAUUCAGACUAUUUUUGUGUAUGCUUGAGAAAAUGUUUAUAAUUU